rnacentral:piRNA from 1 species
UGGACGACACAUACCAUUUGCUUAAACAGC